rnacentral:misc_RNA from 1 species
CUUCCAUUUCGUAUCGACAACGAUUCGGAUCUCUGAGUUUGACUCGGUUUGUUCCUGUUUGGCGCGUUUUCAGAAAAUGUGGGCUCUUUGCUUCUCUGUUUUGAAUUUUUGAUGCAUAAGAUCGUGAACUAGGGUUUGGAUUUUGGAUUUCUGGACUUGGUUUUGUAGUUAAAACUUCUUGAAAAACGGAGGCUGAUAGAGCGC